UGAUACCAUCUUUCAUUAUGUAUUGUUCAGCAGUUUUCUAAACUAAGGAGGCAAAGUAACAAAGACAUGCAGGACUCACGGGCCCUGGAUGGAGGCUGGCAGCUUCAGACAACGAGCACCACUGAGGGACGAGCAGGAGGUGCCUUUGGCUGUGGAGCUCAGGUUUGUCUUUGGAAAAGAGUGAGAGGAACUGGUAAACUCAGCCUCCUCACUCACUUCUGCUCCUGAGAUGUGUGCGAAUGAUUUGAAGACAUGGGUGCAUCAACCUGAAUACAGAUUUAAAAAAUAAGAUUUCUAAGAAGUUACCCU